rfam:Triticum aestivum genome assembly, contig: Triticum_aestivum_CS42_TGACv1_scaffold_062190_1DL
GUCACCCGGUAUUGGGACAUUCAUUAAAAUUGAAACGAUAUAGAGAAAUUAGCAUGACCCUGUGCAAGGAUGACACACAUACAUAAAAAAAUGGUUCAUACCUCA